UACGGAGGGGGCAAGCGUUGUUCGGAAUUACUGGGCGUAAAGGGCGCGUAGGCGGCCGGUCGCGUCAGGUGUGAAAGCCCCGGGCUCAACCUGGGAGGUGCACUUGAUACGGGCUGGCUGGAGGCCGAGAGAGGUGAGUGGAAUUCCCAGUGUAGAGGUGAAAUUCGUAGAUAUUGGGAAGAACACCAGUGGCGAAGGCGGCUCACUGGCUCGGUCCUGACGCUGAGGCGCGAAAGCGUGGGGAGCAAACAGG
rnacentral:ncRNA from 2 species